UUGUAUUUUGUUUUAACGUUAUAAUUGUAAUAUAUUUCGCUUGUGAAAACCUUAAUAAAGUUUGAUUUUUUAAACAGGUAAAACCGAAUUCAAACCUGGGUGGUGGGUUGGCAUAAAAUAUGAUGAACCCAUGGGAAAAAAUAACGGAACGGUGGCUGGCAAACAGUAUUUCAGUUGUCCACCCAAAUAUGGAGGCUUUGUAAAACCAAUUUAUGUUGAAGUUGGAGAUUUUCCUGAAGAUGAUUUGGGAUUGGAUGACGAACUAUGAGCUUGUUCUUUGUUCAUUUAAUUUGUUUCGCAAUUUCUCUCACAUAUCUCAACAUUCCUUCAAGAUUAUAGAAUAACUUUCAAAUAGUAUUAACACUUUCCGCACACAUUCUUUUUUCUAUUUUUUCUAACUUGAAUUGUUUAAUCCCACGAAAGUGUACUAGUUAUUCUUAAAGCCUAACGGUAUGGUUGCUUUUUGAUAGCCAAGUUGCGCUAACUUUACAUUAAAAAAAAAAUGUUAUUUUCUUCUAAUAAAACUUGAUCUCAAGUACCACAUUUUUCACAAUUUAAUCAUAGUUUUAUCAAUUUCAAAAUUUGUAAUUUUCUUGUACUUUUAGAAUGUAUGAUUACAGAAUAAAAAUAGUUGUAAUGUCAUUAAAGUAGCAUAAAUAUU